UCUCCCCCGCAGCGGCCGUGCCCAGGCCCAACACGGCCACACGGCGCCCGCCCGUCCGCGCCGCCGCGCGCGUUCCGCCACUCUGCAGCUCGCUCGCCCGUUCUCCAUCUCCGGUCCGGGCGGCGCCACCUGAGCUCGACGCUACUCCCCACGACGGCCGAGUCCUAGCACUCUCGACACCGGCACUGCGGCACUAGAGCCAUCCCCGAACGGCAAAUCCCCUCACGGCAACAGGCAUACCCUAGGUCCAUGGUGGUUACACUUGGCACGGUGGGGGCGGCAGAGGGCAGCCACUAUGACGUGGAUUCGGACCACAUGAGUGCUCUGAAAGGUGUUGGCUGUGUUCUGGGUCGCCUGGCCGGAGCACUCGCCGCAGCAGGGGGUGUUUUUGGCACAGUUGGCAGCUCCCGUUGCAGUGCCUCCGGCAAUCUCAGUGGGAUAGCUGAGAUUAUCGGCGACGACGUCGGCGGCGCUGCAGGUCUCUGUCUCGCCGGCGAUACUCUUGAACACAGUGGCAGAGUUUUGGUCCGAGUCGGCGAUGGCCGUCCAGUUAGCAUAGGAAAAGGAAACAACCUUGUGUGCAGAAGUGUGGGAUCAAGUCAUUGGGCUAAAAAACCAAUCUACCGACCAAAUAUUCAACUUGAUGACCUCCCAGAGGUAUGCUGAAACUUCUUGUAUAAAGCUGUUAUUAGGAGUAAAUUAAAUUUCCAAACUUUGGGAGAGUGGGGAGAGCGACGAGGAUACAUCAUUUCUUUGCUGCAGGAUGUGCUGCGCAGGGUAUUUUCAAAAUUGCAGCUUAAUGAGGUUGUUAGGACCAGUGUUCUGUCAAGUAAUUGGAGGCAUAUGUGGACAGUUUCUUCCAAAUUAAGUCUUGAUUGUGUUGCAAUAUGUGGUGGGUGUCGAUAUUUCUGUAGCAAACAGAAAUAUACCCAGAAAUUCAUAGAUCAUGUUAAUACUGUGUUGCGACAGCUUCAUGGCAAGGUGUUUGAAGAUCUUGAGAUCAAAGUUGAAUUCAAUAGCUUACUAGUUGAUCAUCUUGUUGGUGCUAGUAUGCUGGAGGUAGAUAACACGGCGGCAGGGGAUAAACCCUAGUUCGCCCUCCCUUGGAGGCUCUGAACUCUUGAGGUUUAUUAUCUGCUUAAUUGUCCAAUGUGCCGACUCUUCCUUUAAAUAGAGCCGGCCCUAACAAACCAUCUAACAAACUCUAAUCUCUAAGAUGACAUGAAUUACAGAAAAUAAAGCAUGAAUUAUCCUAGCCACUAGUAGAAGCUGCCUUCUUGUUGCGGCGCUGGAACUUGUGACCAAAGAACCGGUCCACAACACAUCUAAACAAUUGGAUUAGUUUUUCUGUGUCAUCACUUAUCAAGAAUCUAGCACUGGAUUUAGCUCCAGGUGAAUUUGUGGCUGUUAACAUUCGAGAUAAAAGAUUUGUCGAUACUAAGGAUAGGUACACGUUUCCCAUUGAACUUUUCAACAGUGCAAGCAUAUCCCGAAUACGACAUAUUCAGCUUAGCUGUGUAUCCUUUAGACCGCCUUCCCCAUUUAGGGGUUUCCCAAACUUGAGGAAACUUGAUCUGGAUUUAUUUGAUGCAUCUGAAAUGGAUCUUAAUGAGAUGCUGUCAGGUUGUUCUAAUCUUGAGUGGCUGAGCUUCAAUAGAUGCGAUGUGAAUGAUGAAUUAAAGGUGAAACAGCCAUUGUCCCGGUUGCUGUACUUGUGUAUCGCGCAUUGCAACAUUAGAAAGGUAGUGUUAUGUGCAGAAAAUCUCAAGACUUUUGUAUACUAUGGAGGGAGGCUACCUAUUGACCUUGGUCAAGUUAAGCAACUUGAAACAGCAGAACUUCGCCUAUAUUGUAUCACUUUUGAAUAUGUCCUCACUGAGCUUCCAGAUGUUCUUCGGGGUGUGCAAAAUUUGACUUUGCGGACUAGUUAUCUACCAUUAGAGAAACCCUUAUUGCUGGAAAACAUUGGCAGCUUUCCGCAGCUGAGAUUUUUACGGUUGACAUUCCUUGUAAGAUAUCAUGUAGUGACAAUAUUCUCUCAUUGGCAUCCUUCCUUAGGGCUGCCCCUUUGAUUGAGGAGCUUGAGAUGCAUUUUGAUGCACAUUUUGCCGGCAUGGGAUGUGGAAUUUUCCAGAGUCUUCCACCGUGUCCAUAUAAUUAUCUAAGGAAAGUGCAUUUCACAGGAUUUAAUGGGAUUAAGGGGCAACGUGAAUUCCUAUUACAUAUAGUGGAAAAUGCCCCUGCACUGAAGGUUUUAACUAUAGAUCCAAAGAAGUUGUGUCCUUGUAACUAUAAGCCUUCAGAUUCCUUAGCCUGUAGAGCUCUUUGUAACUGUAAGCCUUCAGAUUUCUUAGCCCGUAGAGCUAAAGGCCCUGUUUGGGACCGCGACAUGCAGAAUCGCGAUGCGUUUAAACGAAACGCGGCCCUUCCCUCGCUUCUCGCAGUGCGCAGUUCAUUUUCCCGCUUUUUCA